CCUCUCUUUCCCCUUCAAACUGAUCUCUAAUUCCUUCAAUUCUAAUUACUUUUCAAUGUCGCCUAAGGAAGAGAAGCUUCCAGUCAACGUCGUCGAACUCAAAUGUAAUAACGGCGACGACGACCAAGGAUAGUUUUAUAAUUUUACAUAAUAAUUCGGCGAUAGUGAUGGUUUAUUGAUUCUGAGGUAUCCUACAUCUGUGACUCUUGAAUCAUCAUCUUCCUCAUACUUAUUACGUACAAACAACAAAUAUGCUAUUUCACUUUUCUCCAUAGAUCUAGAAGAAUCAGUUUUUAUUUUCUCUUUUCAACAAUGGAGAAACUCCCUCACAAGUACAUUAGAAAUACUCUCUCACAAGUAAGGAUCUUUGUAUAGUUAUUGGGUGCCGGUUCUUUAAUCAUCCUGACCUUACCUGGUCUGUUAGGUGGAAUGCUUUUGGAGAAACAUUUCACUAUUUUCUCUACAUCUUGAAAAAGAAUCAAUCCAGUGAUGCUAACGGAUGGUGUGAAUCUCAUGUGCUUGAACAAAGGAUAUACUUGAUAGUGUUGAGCGUUUUUUUCUAAAGAUGGUAUUAUUUGUCAAAUAAUGUCGAGAAGCUACAAAGAAGACAAAAUGUAGAACAAGAACAAAAUACUGCCAACGAGCUACAAAAAAGACAAAAGUGCAGAACAAGAACAAAAGUUGUGCCACCAUUUUCGAUAUGUAAAUAGUAAUAGCAUGGAGAUAUAUGAUGCAAAUAAUGUAAUCAGUGAUGUAAAUAUAGAAAAGGUAGUGGACGAUCAAGGGCAGAAUGGUAAAUAAGCACAGUAUUGGGGGCAAAACGGUCAUUAUAUCUGGCUGAUAUUUACCUAUCCUCACCACAUCAAAACCAUUUUCAGAUAAGCCGCUUCCUGUUUCUCCUUUGCAUCUUGGAUUUGGUCGUCGUCCAUUUGUUUCUCCUGCCUCUUCCUUUGGUGUGUCGUCGAUUUUGCCUUUUCUGCUAAGGUAAUGGAGGAACGACCAAAGGCCAUGGGAUCAAUUGUCGUAACACCGCAUACAUUGAAUUGCCAUGGGAAGAAGGGUUGUGCACCAAUCCUUUUCUUGAAAAAGUGAACUGGGUUUCUUGUAGAUUUGAGAAAAUUGAGGUUGUUAGAUGGGAUUCUUUGAGGGAAUUAAGAAUUGGGUCGAUGAAAUUUCGUGAUGAUAUGGUGAAGAAAGCUGUUGUUGUUGGGAAAAUUGAGGUUGUUGCUAUUUUCUAUCCAUAGUGAUGGGGAAGCCCUUGUGUUUUCACUUUGUCCUAAUAAGUUGACAUUUUUUCAAGCGCAGGUGGCUAAAAGGAGGGAGGUGCUGCAGAAUUACAUGCUUUUCUUGAGAGUCACACCAACACUGCCAAACACACUUAUCAACAGGGCUUCUCCAAUUGUAGAUGUUCCAUACCAUCUAUUUCUCUUGGGAACUGUCGUCGGGGUCAUUCCUGCCACUUACGUCACUGUCCGGAGUUGCUCCUCUACUACAUCACCUAAAAUAUAGAGCAAGUGUCUGAGAGAGAUUGACCAGGGAAGGCCUCAAAGGAUGUGGUCUAUAUAAAUGAAUAAUGGAGUGUUGCUAUACCAUCCAUCCAGCUAGGGGCAAAUAAAGAAACCAGUCAGUAGGUGAGUUUGAGUAGGAACAUCUAAGUAAUGUCUCUAAAUAUCUAUUGAUCACCUCUAUAUGACCCUUCUACUAUGGUGGUAUGUAGUUGAUGGUGCAAAAUUUGAAAAUGAGAAGAGAUGUACCAGUUUUGUAUUUUGUGUAAUUACUUUGCUGCUUUAAGAUCUGAAAUGCUGAAUUUGUUAGCUCCGCGGACUGCUUCGAUACUAUUUUAAGUUUUCAGUAUUCUGAUAGUUGAUUUGUUGUGUGUUAAGUGGUAUUUAUAGUUGAAGGAGUGUCUAAUGGAAUUUGUGGUUAUAGUUAGCUGUACGUUGCACUUUGUAGUAGUGAUAUUUCUAUGUUUAGUAAAAUUAUUGGUUAGGUUGAUAGAUAAAUGUUUGUUAUAGAAUUGAGGAGUGGUACUUAUUGAUUAAAACCAUGCUGUGGAUAUCAUUCUGUGGAAACAUGCAGGAUUUGAAAAUGAGAAGAGGUGUACGACAAUUGUUAAUUUUAUUAAACUACUAUUAAAAGCAUGACUACAUCUGUUAAUAUAAUUCCUAUAUAUCCUCUUAAGAAAUUUGUUAGUCUCUGUUGAACAUCGUUUCUUUUUGCCUAUCAAU